ACGCCUAGAACUCACUUGUACGUAUGUGCGUCAAACUAGCGUCGGUGACUUAGCGGCAAUGGGGGAACGGUGGAAUUUGGAACUAGGGGCCAAUUUUUAUAACCUUGCAGAGGGUAUAAUGAUUUCAGUCAGAAGUUUCCAAAGCAGUGAAGGGGACGUUUGCGACCCCAUAAAUUAUAUAUUCUUGAUCAGCGUCUCUAGACGAGUCCCUCUAGCCAUGUCCGUCUGUCCGUCCGUCUAUCCGUCUGUCUUUCCGUUUCUACGCAAGCCAGUCUCUCAGUUUCAAAGCUAUCGGGCUGAAACUUUCCAAAAAUCUUCUUUCUUUCGGUGUUUUUUUAACAUAUAACCUCGUACGCUUGAAAAUAUAGUCGUCCGAUUUCGAUAAAAUUUAAUUCGAAACUCAGAAUUAAAUGAAAAAUAUUAUAUCCAGGCUUAGAAAGUUAUAUGUUAUAAAACACCAAAGAUAUAAUUUUUUCAUAUUAUUUUUCCACUAAUUUUCCGAUUAUUCCUAUGGCAGGUUAUAAAAAUCGGGUCCCGACAAUUUUGUUUAUUGCUUCCCUCUCAGAGGUUGUAGAAACAGGCACAGUAAAUUGGGCGUUAAUUCAAGCUUCUUGUAUCAUUGAGCUAAAGCCGUCAGUUUUUGAAAAAAUCGCUUAACAGUGAGUAAUAACCUAAUGCAAGGUCAGUGAAAAAUCCUAAUGAUAAAGCCGUCCAUUUUUGGAGAAAAUUGCUUUUCAGUGGCGGAAGAAAUUAGUUAAAAAGUGCCGUCAUAUUAAAUUUUGAACCAGAUAGUUCCAAGACAUGAACGCCUAAUGUGGGAAAAAAAUGAUGUUUCCCCGCUAUCUAUAUUUUUAAUUAACUAGACUGUCACAGACGUUUUAUUACUUAAAUUUACUAUAUAACUAAAGCGGUUCGGAGAAGGAAAAGACGUGGCUUUUCAUUCAUCCAGGCCAAUUCAGCCAAGACCUUUGCCACAAAAGGUUUUUAUAGAUAUGUAUAUCGCCAAGUGCCAGGUUACGACACUGGUUGCUUGUUCUCCAGCCCUCGUGCGGGAGCUGCCAGCCUGUGAAACGAUUUCCCCGUUACUUUAAAGGGCGGCUCAGGAAGACAAAUAAAAUUAAGGCAAAUAAAACAGAUAAUAUAUCUUAUUAAUCCUAACUGAAGCGUUCCUCAAGUCUCAAAACGUAAAUGCAGUGUCCAGCUGUUUAACAAAAGCGAAACGACAAGAAGAUUAAGUCGAGUCUCUCGACUAUCAGAUACCCGUUACUCAGUUUAAGGGAGCAAAAGGAUAAUGAGCAGAAAAGCGAUAUUUUAGGGCGCCACCUACCGGCUUUUCCAGUAGAUGUUAUGUAAGGGGUCGAUAGGUCAAUACCUACAAAGACACAUACAUUUCAAAUUUUGUUUCUAUCAUAAAAACUGCAAGUGCUAAACAUUUUUGCGGAUUGUGAUCGUUAGAGUGGGCGUGGCACCACGCUGAAACAAACUUGCAGAAGCCCAGGAAUCUGCACGCCAAGUAUGAAUAUUCUAGCUCUUAUACUUUCCAAGAUCUCAGCGUUCAUACGGACGGACCGACAGACGGACAGACAUACAUGUCUAGAUCGACUCGGCUAGUGAUUCUUUAUGGGGUCGAAAAGUUUCUUUUUGCCUGUUACAUACCUUCUGAAGAAUCUAGUAUACCCUUUUACUUUACGAGAAACGGGUAUAAAAAUAUAAGUUGGUCCCAUGUUCCCAGAUUCUGGGCGAAAGAACCACCAGUAAUUCGAUCACGGACGAGUUCUCCACCACCAUCUACUUGACAGCUAAUGCUGAGCUAAAGUACGCUGAAGGGAAGAUGAGAAAUGGCCACCUGCUAAGGGACAACUAGAGUUGUCAGAAUGCUUACUGCCUUCCUUUAGUGUCAGUGGUACAAGUGCGUUGCCAUCCAGGUUCCAACUCUGUCAAGGUCUUGAUCUAUGAAAUCUUCGGUAACACUACUAAGAUUAAGAAUUUUCGACUAGUAAAACUUUUAGCUGAUCUGAGCACCAGGCCUUAGGAGAUUUCAGUAUUUGAUGUCUCCAACUAUAAUUUGCUCUGUUCGGUUUCGCUUAUACAUAUUGUAGUAGUUUUUAAAUAAAAUCACAAGAGGCGUAUUAGGUUUGUUGAUAAAAGUAUCGAUUAUGUUUUAUAAAACUUAUUUACUGAUAUCGUUACAUUUUAUUUAUAUAUGAUGGACGUGGAUGCACUUCGAACAGUACAAGCAAGUAGCCCAACGACACCAAGCACGUACUUGAUAUGCGCGGGGCCCUUUUAUCAAUUUGGGGAAAAAAGUUCGCGAGGCAGAUACAUAAAACAGAGACGGGUAACAAAUGAAAAUAAAAGGCACAACUAAGAAUGAUGCAAAUGAGUUAAAAUAUUAGUUUUUAAUACCGGCAUAGAAGUUAAAAUGCAAAUUAAAUGAUAAAGGUUAUUGUAGUUAUUACAUAAAACGCGAAAGGGCUCGUGCAGACAAAAAUUUGAUGUACAUCGUGGCAGAUUUAGAGGAUAAUAAUUUCGUGUUAGUCUAACAAGAACAUUGAAUGUUAGGCGGCUUAAAAGAAAUGCAGAAUCAAAAUAGUACCAAGCAUUGUUCUACGAUUUAAAAGUGUAGGAAAAUUAAGCAAUUGUAAUCUACUCGGGUGGGAUGGUUGCCUUACGUUUUGAUCCCAGUUCAAACUGCGCAGGGCAAAUAAUUUUUUUUGUACCAACUCAAUACGGUCGAUGUGCUCUUGAUAUUGUGGACUCCAAACCGACGAACAAUAUUUCAAAAUAGGACGUCCAAGGGAGGUAAAUAAUAAUUUGGUCGUAUAAGGCUCAUCAAAUUCCUAUGACCAACGCUUUAUAAGCCCAAGAACACUCAUGGCUUUGUUAACAGUGAACAUGAUGUGGCAGUCAAAUUUAAGUUUAGGGUUCAGAGAAACACCUAAAUCGUUAACUGAAGUAAAGUGGCGUAUUUGAAGUGAAGUGGCGUAUUUUUAAGAAAGUAACUGAUAAACGUAGUAAAUCUUAACAACAUCAACAUACAUUAGUACAUGAGAAUGUGUUAUGAUUGAGAGAAGAUCGUUAAUAAACAAAGUAAAUAGCAAAGAGCCCGUUAACUGAAUAACGUCAUAACGCUGAAUUUUAGGCAGUUCAAAUUUAAUAAUUUGUACUCACAUCAUCCAUGAAAACAAUCAAUAUCCGACUGUAAGUUAAAUCCCGACGCUAUAUCAUUAUAUGAUAAACAAAGCUUAACAUCAUCAGCAUACAUUAUUACACGAGAAUGUGUUAUGAUUGAGGGAAGAUCGUUAAUAAACAAAGUAAACAGCAAAGGGCAAAAAUGACUACCCUGAGGUACUCCAGAUUAAAAGCACAAGAGACACAGCAUCAAAUCAUAAGCUUUCUAACAGAUACAAAAAUCUAGAAUCCCUCAUAAUCAUAGUCCAGUGAUUUUUGUGCGAGUGUUCUGUGUGUAUUUAUUUACAAAGAUAAGCCUAACAAUUGUGCUAGUAAUUCUAAAUAGAUCUCCCAGUAACGGGUACGUGGUAAUAGUUAUUUUAACUUUUCUAUUAGAUUUGUUUAAUCCCAUAGCUUUGUUUUUGUAACAUACGCUCCUAAACUUGCUAAAACUCUUUGACUCUCUCUCAAACUCCCUCGCUCUAUUUUAUAACUGUAACCUGCUCUCUAUGCACCCGCUGAAUUUCUAGUAUACUUUUUCGGUGCUAUUUUCCGCAACUCUCUCUCUUGCUUGAUUUACUUUGUAUUUGUUCGUACUGAAAGUUGUUAGUGUUGAACAAGCCACGCUCAGUCGAUAGAAUAUUUUUUCUCUCUCUGGUGCUCUCUUACGUUUUGAUAAAUUUUCGCGAUCUCGCGCUCUUAUUUUUUUUUUUGUUUUUGUGUUUUGUGCUUUUGUGAUUUUUGAAUUUGAUCCCAGUGGGUAUUUUUGAUAUUUUAUUUCAUUUGUUUGUCUUAUAAUGGCCCUUGUCUGUUCUAAGAAAAACUGCACACUUGCGUCUUCUACGAAAGACCCCUUUAUUUUUUGCUGGCUCUGCGAUUCGAUGAUGCACGUCAAAUGUGCAGGAAUCACCGGCAGAGUUAAAGAUUUUAUUGAUCUUAACUCUGGUCUUAUGUGGUCAUAUGGUUCCUGCAAGGAAAUGGUGGUUGAGAUGAGCGGCUUUAUGAAGCAGACUCGAGACAGCCUGUUGAAUAUCUCGGGUGCUUUUAGGCAACUCAAUGAGGGGUUCAAUACCGUCUGUGCCCAGUUUAAUAAUAAAAAAUUAUUAACAGAGUCGCCUAAACGCAAAAAAGCCAGCUUAACCACCGGUAAUACCACCAUGGAAUCCAACCCAAAUCCGAACUUGGUAGCAGCAGUUCCUGUCGACACAGGGUUAAGCGAACCAACUGUGCGUAUGGACACAGCUAGCUCGAGUGUAGCCCAUGUUUCCGGACUAAAAGCUUCUGUACUGGCUAAGUCAAAGAAAUCAGUGCCGACCGUUCCUAUAGGUACUGUAGGCACCGAUCCUGGAUCUCAGCCUAGUGAGGUUCAGACUGCGGCUGGGGAGCGUAAGAAACUUUCAGUUAUCCCACAAACGAAGCAAUUAUUUGUUUCUAGAUUCAUUCCAGAUACCACAUCUAAGGAUGUUCUGGAAUUUAAACGUGAAAAAUUCCCAUCCGAAGAUUUUGCAGUUGAACAAUUUCGAUUUUCAUAUGCUCGUAGGAUAUCUUCUUUUAAAAUAUUUGCUCCGCCUGACAUUUUUAAUGUUUUACUUUCUGAAAGCUUUUGGCUUAAUGAUGGUUUAGUAAUUAAAGAAUUUGUCCCAAAUAAACCGAGAACAAAUAACAGGCCCUCCACUGUGUCAAAAAACUAAAAAGUUUAAUGUUGGCGUAUCAAAAUGUUAGGGGAUUAAAUAUGAAGCUACCCAAGCUUUAUGCUGACUCCUCUGCAUUUACAGAAGAUAUUUUAGCUUUUACGGAAACCUGGCUGAAACCAGGGAUUUCCGACUCUGAAGUUCUGGGUAAUAACUUUAAUACUUAUAUUACCGAUCGCCACUCACGUAGGGGGGCGGUGUCCUGAUUGCCGUUACCUCUAGCCUUACAUCUGAAAUAAUUCUUCUUCAUAUACCCAAUGAAAUUGAAUUUCUAAGUGUAAAAGUUUCUUUGCAAUCGUUAUCUGUUUUUGUUACAUGUUCUUAUAUUCCACCUGGCUCUGACCUAGUAAUUUAUGAGCACCAUCUGUCUGCAAUCAAAUCUGUUUUAUCCCUUCUUUCUAACAGAGGUACCUUUUGAUUGUUUUAUGUGACUUUAACCUACCUGAUAUUUCUUGGUCUCCUCCUACUGACUCAUUUGUCGCUAUGCCAUUAUCCGCCCAUGAUUUUGUGGAUGGCCUUUUAGAAUUAUCGUUACAGCAAGUAAGCUUUAUAAAAAAUUCUUUAAGAAGUGAUUAGAUAUUGUGUUUGUUUCAGAACCGUCUGAAAUCACAGUAUGUAGAAUUGACGGUCUUGUUGUACCUGAAGACCCAUAUCAUCCUACUAUGGAACUGACAAUUUGCCUCCCCUGCUCUGAUACCCUCUCUCCUUUAGUUUCUCCAACUAAAAUAAGAUGUUUUCGUAAAUGUAACUAUAAUAAACUUAACGAUAUGAUUUCUCAUUAUAAUUGGACAGACUUGUACAAUUGUACAGACAUUGAAAGUGCCACUGAACUAUUCUAUACAGUCUUAAAUACGUUUUUUCUGGGUUUCUUUCAAACCUAAACAGACCUCCUUGGUCUACCAAUCCGCUUCAAAGACUUAAAAACCUUAAAUAUAACACUUAUAUAAAGUAUAAUAAAUCGGGUAGACCAGCAGAUUUUUCGAAAUAUGUUGUGGCUCGAACAGAUUUUAAUGUUCUCAACAGUCAUUGCUACUCUAUGUAUCUAAAUCGAUGUCAAUUUGAAUUUUCAAACGAUCCGAAACAGUUUUACAAUUUUGUUAAUACCAAGCGUAAGGCAUCGGCAUUGCCUUCAUCGGUACGUCUAAGCUCAAUGGAGGCAUCGACGGAUUCAGAAAUUGCUGAUUUAUUUGCUGAGUUUUUCCAAACUACUUAUAGUUCGACAGCUUGGUCAAAUUCUAACUACCCUAAUCCAUUAAAUAGGGCAAAUUGUAUUUUCUCCCCUGUAAUCACCGAAAGCUCUCUCGUAAGAGAUUUAGCAACAACAACGCCAACAUUUUCUCCCGGUCCACAUGGACUUCCUGGAUGUGUACUUAAGUUUUGUGCGUCAAGUAUUUGUAAACCGAUUCUUAAACUUUUUAAUUUGUCUAUUUCAUCAUCAGUUUUUCCUUCUAUCUGGAAGGACUCUUUUAAUAUUCCACUCCAUAAAAAAGGUGCGAAGGCAGAUGCCCAAAAUUAAAUUGUCUGCAAUUCCUAAAGCAUUUGAAUUUCCGCGCUUAUAUCACCGUGUAAGCAUGGUUUUGUUAAGCGAAGAUCGACCACCACCAACCUUCUUGAAUUGUCAUCUAUUGUAAUAAAUGGGUUUAUUUAGUAAAGCCUUUGACUCCGUUAACCACACACUUCUUUUAUUUAAAUUAGAUCAGCUUGGGUUUCCUGGUAAUCUAUUAUCUUGGAUUUCAAGUUACUUGAAUGAUAGGACUCAGAGGGUUAUAUUCAAGAAUGCUGUUUCAAAAUUGAUCUACGUGACAUCUGGAGUGCCUCAGGGUAGUCAUUUGGGCCCUUUGCUAUUUACUUUGUUUAUUAACGAUCUUCCCUCAAUCAUAACACAUUCUCGUGUAAUAAUGUAUGCUGAUGAUGUUAAGCUUUGUUUAUCAUAUAAUGAUAUAGCGUCGGGAUUUAACUUACAGUCGGAUAUUGAUUGUUUUCAUGGAUGGUGUGAGUACAACCUAUUAAAUUUGAACUGCCUAAAAUGCAACGUUAUGACGUUAUUCAGUUAACGGUUUAGGUGUUCUUCUGGACCCUAAACUUAAAUUUGACUGCCACAUUAUGUCCACUGUGAACAAAGCGUUGGUCAAAAGAAUUUGAUGACCCUUAUACGACCAAAUUAUUAUUUACCUCCCCUGUCUGUCCUAUUUUGGAAUAUUGUUCAUCGGUUUGGGGUCCAAAAUAUCAAGUGCACAUCGACCGUAUUGAGUCGGUACAAAAAAAUUUCUUUUAUUUGCCCUGCGUAGUUUGAACUGGGAUCAAAACGUAAGGCUUCCUUCCUACGAGAGUAGAUUACAAUUGCUUAAUUUACCUACACUUGUAAAUCGUAGAACAAUGCUUGGUACUAUUUUUAUACAAUAUCUUAUAAGAGGUGACAUUAAUUUUGCAGAACUUUUAAGCCGCCUAACAUUCAACGUUCCCGUUAGACUAACACGAAAUUAUUAUCCUCUAAAUUUGCCACGAUGUACAUCAAAUUUUUGUUUGCACGAGCCCUUUCGCGUUCUAUGAAAUAACUAUAAUAAACUUUAUCAUUUAAUUUGCAUUUCAACAUCUAUCCCGCUAUUAAAAACUAAUAUUUGAACUCAUUUGCUUAAUUCUUAGUUAGGCUUUAUAUUUUCAUUUGUGUUUCGUCACUAUUUGUUUUAUGUAUGUAUCUUCCCCGCGAACUCGCAUUAUUGCCCAAAUUGAUAAAAGGGCCCCGCGCGUAACAAGCACGUGCUUGGUGUCGUUGGGCCACUUGUUUGUGCUGUUCGAAGUGCAUCAACGUCCAUAUAUAAGUGAAUUGGAGAAUUGCUAGCCAUAAGAUCUCGAAGAAACACGAUCGUCCAAUUAAACAUAAGUACUUUUAUUGAAACCCAGCAACUCAAGCAAUAAAAAAUAAAAAAAACUCAUAGAACUAUCGUUGUUCGCUUACAGCUCGUUAAAAGCAGUCGAAGAAAAAGAACAAGGAAUGUAGUUUGCGUAGAUUGCAGCUGACCGAGCAUUCAGGUCAAGAUGCAUGCCCGGUAUCCCGAAUGGGUAAAGUAUUUACCAUUCGUGAGGCAAAUAUACAAUUACACUAGACCUGAAAAGUGCUACUGAAAGAUACCGAAUGAUAAAAGUAUUAAACAAUACACACAACAAUAAACAAAUUUUACUGUACCAGGUCACGGACUGUUUCAGUGGAAUGUAAUCCCUUUCGGAUUAAACACAGCCCAACCCACUUUCCGAAGAGACCGCUGGAUGAUACAGUGGUCAUUGGACAUACGAAACCGAAACACCUUAAGAAACUGUAAGAAGUUAUAAGACGACUUCGCAAGGCAAGCUUCAGGAUAAGCACGUAGAAAUCUCAUUUCUUCAAAGAAGAAGAAGAAUAUAAGUUGGUCACUUAGUCAGCGCAAGAGGGAUACACACUGAACAGGAAAAGAUAGCCACAAUCCUGAACAUGCCAAAUUCAAUUCGCCAAGGAAAGCACGGUCAAUAUCAUUUUUACACUUUGAAUUCAAUCAUACAACUGCCAAAACUGACUGUUUUAGAUAGACAGACGGGGAUGACUAGAUCUACUCCGCUAGUGAUCCCUUUUAGUUAUACACUUAUUGUGUAAAAUAUAGUCAUUGUAAUGAAUAUACGCACAUAAAAUAACAACAAUUAUUUAUAACGAUAUUAAAUUCAAAUUUGCUUUUACUAUUAUA